rnacentral:lncRNA from 1 species
GGAAAUUAGUCAUAUUGACAGACGCGCAGGAAAGCCCAGAGCUGGCCAGAGUAGCUCUUCCGGAGAAGGACCGAAGGGCCGGGAAAAGGGAAGAAUCUCCAUCUCCGUUGCUUCUGCAGAGCAAAGGGUGCUUGGCUCCUGCAGACUCCCUCCCAUUCUCUACCGGCACCGACCUCAACGACGACACGACCUGGAUGAAUGGAGUAUCCGGAGAAGGUUUUUGAAGACGUUUAGGAGGAAGGGUGAGUUUUCUGUUGAGAAACUCAAUCUGCCAUACAGUAGCGGGCCCCAUCUGGGAUCUGUCACUGCUGACAGCACCACAGGGCACAGCCGUGAUCUUCUGCACAGCCUGCACUCCUCGAAAUACCCUCCUUAAUCAAAGGAUGUCUGCGCGCCGGCGCUCAGCUGACCGCGCCAAAGCAGAGAGGCCUAAGAGUUCCACCCCUCCCGCCCCCUCCCCAGGCUCACAACCUCCC